UGGGGAAUAUUGGACAAUGGGGGGAACCCUGAUCCAGCCAUGCCGCGUGUGUGAAGAAGGCCUUAUGGUUGUAAAGCACUUUAAGCGAGGAGGAGGGUACUGGUAUUAAUACUACCAGGUACUGGAUGUUACUCGCAGAAUAAGCACCGGCUAACUCUGUGCCAGCAGCCGCGGUAAUACAGAGGGUGCGAGCGUUAAUCGGAUUUACUGGGCGUAAAGCGUGCGUAGGCGGCUAAUUGAGUCGGAUGUGAAAUCCCCGAGCUUAACUUGGGAAUUGCAUUCGAUACUGGUUAGCUAGAGUGUGGGAGAGGAUGGUAGAAUUCCAGGUGUAGCGGUGAAAUGCGUAGAGAUCUGGAGGAAUACCGAUGGCGAAGGCAGCCAUCUGGCCUAACACUGACGCUGAGGUGCGAAAGCAUGGGGAGCAAACAGG
rnacentral:rRNA from 1 species